rnacentral:rRNA from 1 species
AUUGAACGCUGGCGGCAGGCCUAACACAUGCAAGUCGAGCGGAUGAAGGGAGCUUGCUCCUGGAUUCAGCGGCGGACGGGUGAGUAAGUCCUAGGAAUCUGCCUGGUAGUGGGGGGGAACGUCCGGAAACGGGCGCUAAUACCGUAUACGUUCUGAAGGAGAAAGUGGGGGAUCUUGGGAGCUCACGCCAUUAGCUGAACCGAGGGCGGAUUAGCUAGUUGGUGGGGUAAAGGCCUACCAAGGCGACGAUCCGGAACUGGUCUGAGAGGAUGAUCAGUCACACUGGAACUGAGACACGGUCCAGACUCCUACGGGAGGCAGCAGUGGGGAAUAUUGGACAAUGGGCGAAAGCCUGAUCCAGCCAUGCCGCGUGUGUGAAGAAGGUCUUCGGAUUGUAAAGCACUUUAAGUUGGGAGGACGGGCAGUAAGUUAAUACCUUGCUGUUUUGACGUUACCAACAGAAUAAGCACCGGCUAACUUCGUG